rnacentral:rRNA from 1 species
UACGUAGGGUGCGAGCGUUAAUCGGAAUUACUGGGCGUAAAGCGUGCGCAGGCGGUUUGGUAAGACAGAUGUGAAAUCCCCGGGCUUAACCUGGGAAUGGCAUUUGUGACUGCCCGGCUAGAGUGUGUCAGAGGGGGGUAGAAUUCCACGUGUAGCAGUGAAAUGCGUAGAGAUGUGGAGGAAUACCGAUGGCGAAGGCAGCCCCCUGGGAUGACACUGACGCUCAUGCACGAAAGCGUGGGGAGCAAACAGG